GACUCUUUCAGCUUGAACUGUUAACCAAUGGUGGAAAUGCAAGAAUGCUGAAGUUGUGCCUUCAGAGCCAAUAGAGUGGAUUUGUGUGUCCCACAUGACUGUGUUUCCUCUGUCUUUCACAUGGGCAGUAUUUAGUUCAAUUCAGAACUGCAGAUAGUAUAGCGUGCAGAGCAGCAAUGGGAUGUCUGAGCACAAGUGGCUGACUUCCAGGCGACUUCAGGAAGCACAUUUGUACAUUUCUCCUGAAUUUAACUGGGAUUCUGCACCCUUGACACCCUCUGACCCUCCUUGUCUCUGCAGAAGGAGACAGCGACCUGCACAGCACAACAAAACUACAAAUCACCACAGAGCUGCAGACCAGCAAUGAAGGGAACUGGGCAAUUUGACCAAUAUCAUCUGUGUCGGUUCCCCAGAAGUCGAUGAAACAUGUUAUCGGGUCUCCAAGUUUGCAUGUUACAGACCACAAACCUCAGAAGAUCAUUGUGUGGAACCAACUCAUCCUGUCCAUCUGACACAAAGCACAGCCCAUUUUGGUGUUCUUUCCAUUCUGAAGGAGUCUCAUAUCAGCACAGAAAGAGCAGACCUGCAAAAAAGAAUUCUGACCAACUGAGCAUUGAG
rnacentral:lncRNA from 1 species